UUUUCUACAGUUAGGACCAGCUUAUACAUUUGACACUCACUACACACAUGCUAUUAGGCUAAGUGCUACAUAGAUAACCAAUGCAAUGAGUCUUACACUCAAAGAACAAACAGACUCUUUUUCUCUUCACUUUUUUUUUUUUUUUUGGUGUUGUUGUUCUUAUAAAUCUAAGUAGAGGGGCUUUAAAAAAAAAUCAUGCAUUCAUUCCAGGACAGCAGUCUCUAACCCUGGGGCUGAAGAUGGGAGAGUUGGUGAGUACAUGGUGUAAUGGGUUAAGCUGUGUCCUCCAAAAAGACAAUGGUCAGAGGCUAAAAGCACAGGACCCAGAGACCACCUAUGUAGCACCAAGACUCCUGUUGCAACAGGUCCUUAUCUGAUACCUCGUCUUCCGACUCAGCCCUCUGACAUAUCUGAUUAUUUUUGACAAGUGCAAUCACCUCAACAACAGAGCCAUUCAGAACAUUUCAUCGAUACAGAAGCUCUUCCAAGAGGAUCUCUGUUUAACUGCUCCAGGGAUCUCUCUGCUGGUGAUGGCUUUUCUGUGGUUGUAGAAGGACAAUCUAACCACCUCCAGGCGAACCCGUUCCAGCAGCCAGUCCUCCAAAGAGCCCAGUGCAUCCGAGAUCCAGGAGCACCCACUGAAGUCUGGAGAGAGUGACCACUUUGACCUGACAGCCAUUAAUUUACCAGGCAACACGGAUCUCCGCAGUGAUUCCUUGUACGUGUGUGACCCCAGGUGUUCUUAUUAUAGUGGUUCUUGGCCACAAAGAUUUCCAUUCAAAAGGACUGAGCCUGGGAUCCUGGAAGCUGCAUCUUUUGCUAAAGCGUCCCAGGAGAUGAAUACUGCCAAAGCUCACCAGUUGAGAAACUCUGGGUGAACGGCAGGAGGAGAGGGAGUUUGGGGGACAGAUUAGAUGUCACCUUGGGAAUGAUGUCACACUGUUCCUGGAGUGUCAGCACUAUAGAUACUAAUAUUAAUGGUGGAUGAUAUUAGUACCGAAUAGUUGCUACUUUGUCAGGUGGAGGUAAGAAAAGAAUCCAAAUUUUUCCCAGCCCCAGCAAUAUCUUAUUUAACCUCUACACCAAGCUUUUAUUUUUUUAUUUAUUUUUUAUUUUUUGUAUUUUGAAUUUCCAGUUUUUUGUUUGUUUAUUUUUAAUAUAUGUUUUAAAUUUAUACCCAAGUUAGUUAGCAUAUAGUGCAACAACAAUUUCAGGAGUAGAUUCCUUAAUGCCCCUUACCCAUUUAGCCCAUCCCCCCUCCCACAACCCCUUCAGUAACCCUCUGUUUGUUCUCCAUAUUUAAGAGUCUCUUGGGGCGCCUGGGUGGUGCAGUCGGUUGAGCGUCCGACUUCAGCCAGGUCACGAUCUCGCGGUCCGGGAGUUCGAGCCCCGCGUCAGGCUCUGGGCUGAUGGCUCAGAGCCUGGAGCCUGUUUCCGAUUCUGUGUCUCCCUCUCUCUCUGCCCCUCCCCUGUUCAUGCUCUGUCUCUCUCUGUCCCAAAAAUAAAUAAACGUUGAAAAAAAAAUUUUAUAAAAAA
rnacentral:lncRNA from 1 species